GCGUGUGCGAUAAAUCAUUCAAGUUUCUGCCCUAUCAGCUUUGGAUGGUAGUGUAUUGGACUACCAUGGCAGUCACGGGUAACGGAGAAUUAGGGUUCGAUUCCGGAGAGGGAGCCUGAGAAACGGCUACCACAUCUACGGAAGGCAGCAGGAGCGAAAAUUGCCCAAUCCCGACACGGGGAGGCAGUGACGAGAAAUAACAACUCUUGGUUAUUCUAAGAAGUGUAAUGAGGAUAAUUUAAAACCCUUACCGAAAGCAAUUGGAGGGCAAGUCUGGUGCCAGCAGCCGCGGUAAUUCCAGCUCCAAUAGCGUAUAUUAAAGUGUUGCAGUUAAAAAGCUCGUAGUUGAAGUUCUGGCUGCUUGACCCUCGAGCUUUGUAGCCGAGGGCUCAGCAGUCAUCCGCUUGCAAAUAUAUGUUCGCCUUUAACCGGGCGGCUAUAUGAGUAAGCAUUUUACCUUGAGAAAAACAGAGUGUUCCAGGCAGGUUUGUCCGGAAUGCAUUAGCAUGGAAUUAUAGAAUAUGACUGAAGUCGAUUUAUUGGUUUGAGGCUUUAGUAAUGAUUAAUAGGAACAGUUGGGGGCAUUGGUACUUGUCAGUCAGAGGUGAAAUUCUAGGAUUUGACAAAGACUAACAAAUGCGAAAGCAUUUGCCAAGGAUGUUUUCAUUAAUCAAGAACGAAAGUUAGGGGAUCAAAGACGAUCAGAUACCGUCCUAGUCUUAACUAUAAACUAUACCGACUCGGAUUCAGAUGAAUCAUAAAGUUCAUUUGGGACCGUAGGAGAAAUCAAAGUUUUUGGGUUCUGGGGGAAGUAUGGUCGCAAGGCUGAAACUUAAAGGAAUUGACGGUUUUGCACCACCAUGGAGUGGAGUCUGCGGCUUAAUUUGACCCAACACUGGGAAACUCAUCAGGGCAAGAAGAUUGUAGGAUUGACAGAUUGAGAGUUCUUUCUUGAUUGGUCUAGUGGUGGUGCAUGGCCGUUCUUAGUUGGUGGAGUGAUUUGUCUGGUUAAUUCCGUUAACGAACGAGACCUUAACCUGCUAACUAGUACACCGAUGACAAAUCGGUGAUACUUCUUAGAGGGACUAUGUGAUGUAAUCACAUGGAAGUUUGAGGCAAUAACAGGUCUGUGAUGCCCUUAGAUGUCCUGAGCUGCACGCGUACUACAAUGGUGCUUUCAUCGAGCUUUUCCUGAUCCGAAAGGAUUUGGGUAAUCUUUUUAGUGAGCACCGUGCUUGGGAUAGAUCUUUGUAAUUAUGGAUCUUGAACUAGGAAUUCCUAGUAAGCACGUGUCAUCAGCA
rnacentral:rRNA from 1 species